rnacentral:rRNA from 1 species
AGUGAACGCUGGCGGUAGGCCUAACACAUGCAAGUCGAACGGCAGCACAGUAAGAGCUUGCUCUUACGGGUGGCGAGUGGCGGACGGGCGAGGAAUACAUCGGAAUCUACUUUUUCGUGGGGGAUAACGUAGGGAAACUUACGCUAAUACCGCAUACGACCUACGGGUGAAAGCAGGGGAUCUUCGCACCUUGCGCGAUUGAAUGAGCCGAUGUCGGAUUAGCUAGUUGGCGGGGUAAAGGCCCACCAAGGCGACGAUCCGUAGCUGGUCUGAGAGGAUGAUCAGCCACACUGGAACUGAGACACGGUCCAGACUCCUACGGGAGGCAGCAGUGGGGAAUAUUGGACAAUGGGCGCAAGCCUGAUCCAGCCAUACUGCGUGGGUGAAGAAGGCCUUCGGGUUGUAAAGCCCUUUUGUUGGGAAAGAAAAGCAGCAGGUUAAUACCCCGCUGUUCUGACGGUACCCAAAGAAUAAGCACCGGCUAACUUCGUG